GGAAUAUAAGAACCCGUCUCUUAGCUUUUAACUAAAAAAGCUAAGAACUGGUUCUUAAAUAUGAGUUUUAAGAGUCGGUUCUUAACUUUUUUAGUUAAAAGUUAAGAGACGGGUUCUUAUAUUCC
rfam:Brassica oleracea var. oleracea cultivar TO1000 chromosome C7, whole genome shotgun sequence